UUGAUUCUCACCACAGUGACUUGGGACUUGCUUGAGACUUGAAGGUUAUGACUUGAGACUUGCUUGUGACUUGCACAUGAAUGACUUACCCCCACCUCUGGAGGAAAGUACCCGAAUGCAUUGCCAUUUGGCUGGGAAACAAAUGCAUUGCCAUUUGGCUAGGAAAGCAUACCGUUUCUAGACCUUGCUUGACUUGUUUGCCUGACUCUCCUGAAAUCUCCUCUUUGCAACAAUAAUCUUGAUCUUUAAUCUUUAAUCUUGAUCUUUACUUCCAAGUCACAGGUGAAACUGGGACAAAGUAAUUGAUGGAUUAAACAGUACAAAAUACAUUAGGUGUCUGAUUAACAAAUGUUUUACUCAUAACAAAACAUAAUAUGUAGUGGUAAAAUAAAUAAACAUCUUCACAUAGGGACAAAGCUUGGCUUUGUUACAAUGACAAUGUGUGUUCAGUUACGCCCCAGGCAAAACUCCCUUUUCUUUUUAAGUUCUCUUGUCGCCGCCCCACUUCCCAAGAAAAACAAGCUUGGUACGCCCGUGGCCAAAACCGCCCCUGACCGUGUGUCAUUAUAUAUUAAGGUAAUCAUGUUCUCCAAGAGCUGGAACACAGCCAGGAGAUCCCUAAACCCUCAUCCGUGUACCAGGUAUCGCAUGGUUGCAAGGCAGCUUAGUGGCUGCAUGGCGGAGGAGUUGGGAGCCACAACAGAGGAAAAGGCAGAAUGCACGUUCCUGAUGAGAUAAGAGCCACACUUGUUCUCAAUCAUGGGCUUUCAAUGGCCGAGGCUGGUCGAAGGGUGCAGCCAAAUAUUGGGAGAACAACUGCGUCCUCAAUCAGUCAGACCUUUCGUCGACAGAACAGGAUUGCAAGACAACCUCACAGGGGUGGCAGAGGGACCCUUUUCACACCUGAACAGGAGCAGGCUAUUUGCACCAUGGUUGUAGAAAACAAUGCCAUGAGACAAAGGGAGAUAAAAGAGUGCCAUUACAGAGGACAACAACAUCUUUGAAAACAACAGUCAGCAUCUCAACCAUUGACAGGGUGCUGAAGAGGCACCAAAUGAAUAUGAAGCAGCUGUACAAUGUUCCAUUUGAAAGAAAUGGUGAAAGAGUGAAGGAGCUGCGCUACCAGUAUGUACAGGUAAAGCACGUAUGACUGGAUUCAACCCAACGAAACACAGAAAGCGUGGUCGAAGUAUCAUCGGCUACAGAGCUACAGUUGAUGUGCCAGGCCAACGGGGCGGGAACAUAACUAGAUCUUCCAGACCUUCCAGAAGGGGUCCGCCCUCUACCUUGCCUUCCAGAGGGGUCCCGCCUUCUAAACCUUCCAGAAGGGGCCCGCCCUCUACCUUGACUUCCAGAGGGGUGCCGCCUUCUAAACCU